AUGUAUGUAUGUAUGCAUGCAUGCAUGCAUGCAUGUAUGUAUGUAUGUAUGUAUGUAUGUAUGUGU
ensembl:miRNA Gm22064 predicted gene, 22064